rnacentral:rRNA from 1 species
UACAGAGGGUGCAAGCGUUGUUCGGAAUUAUUGGGCGUAAAGCGCGUGUAGGCGGUCCGGUAAGUCCGCUGUGAAAGCCAGGGGCUCAACCCUUGGAUGCCGGUGGAUACUGUCGGGCUUGAGUACGGAAGAGGCGAGUGGAAUCCUGGUGUAGCGGUGAAAUGCGCAGAUAUUGGGAGGAACACCAGUGGCGAAGGCGGGCUCACUGGACCGGUACUGAC